rnacentral:rRNA from 1 species
GACGAAGGGGGCUAGCGUUGUUCGGAAUUACUGGGCGUAAAGCGAGUGUAGGUGGUUGUCCAAGUUGGAUGUGAAAGCCUUGAGCUCAACUCAAGAAAUGCAUUCAGGACUGGAUGGCUAGAGGACCGGAGAGGAUAGUGGAAUUCCCAGUGUAGUGGUGAAAUACGUAGAGAUUGGGAAGAACACCAGUGGCGAAGGCGGCGAUAUC